AGGGUAGCAAUACCGCUGACGACCGGCAAACGGGUGCGGAACACGUACACAACCUUCCUUUUAGUGGGGAAUAGCCCAGAGAAAUUUGGAUUAAUACCCCGUAAGAUAUUAGAACGGCAUCGUUUAGAUAUUAUAGGUUUACCGCUAAGAGAUGGGUGUGCGGCUGAUUAGGUAGUUGGCGGAGUAACAGCCCACCAAGCCAACGAUCAGUAACUGAUGUGAGAGCAUGAUCAGCCACACGGGCACUGAGACACGGGCCCGACUCCUACGGGAGGCAGCAGUAAGGAAUAUUGGACAAUGGACGCAAGUCUGAUCCAGCCAUGCCGCGUGAAGGAUUAACGCCCUCUGGGUUGUAAACUUCUUUUAUAGGGGACGAAAAAAGGGCUUUCUAGCUCGACUGACGGUACCCUAUGAAUAAGCACCGGCUAACUCCGUGCCAGCAGCCGCGGUAAUACGGAGGGUGCAAGCGUUAUCCGGAUUCACUGGGUUUAAAGGGUGCGUAGGCGGGCAGUUAAGUCAGUGGUGAAAUCUUCGAGCUUAACUCGGAAACUGCCAUUGAUACUAUCUGUCUUGAAUACUGUGGAGGUGAGCGGAAUAUGUCAUGUAGCGGUGAAAUGCUUAGAUAUGACAUAGAACACCGAUUGCGAAGGCAGCUCGCUACACAAAUAUUGACGC
rnacentral:rRNA from 1 species